UUCUUUGUUAAUUGUCAGCUGCUUUUAUCAAAUUCCAGACCAUUAUGUAGCAAACACUAAAACAAAACACAGACAUUAUGUUUGAACAUCUGGACU
rnacentral:sRNA from 1 species